AUGCCAGGUUCUAAUCGUUUCUUUAUUUGGUCUGUUUUAUUCUUUUAACUUCAUUCUUUGCAAUUUUGUCCUAGGUGGUAUGCCAAAAGAUUUCUACAUCCUGACAUUGUGGCGCCAUAUGACUAUAUAUUUAUCUGGGAUGAAGAUCUAGGAGUUGAGUAUUUUAAUGCAGAAGAAUAUAUAAGACUAGUGAGGAAAUAUGGCUUGGAGAUUUCACAACCUGGUUUAGAACCUAAUAAAGGGUUAACAUGGCAGAUGACAAAAAGAAGAGGUGAUCGAGAAGUCCACAAAGAAACAGAGGAGAAACCGGGCUGGUGCCCUAGCCCACAUUUGCCUCCCUGUGCAGCAUAUGAAAAGCUUUGAGCAGUUUGUUGAGAUCAUGGCUCCUGUAUUUUCUAGAGAUGCAUGGCGGUGUGUGUGGCAUAUGCUUCAGGUAUAUAUAUCCUCAAAUUUAGAAUUAGUAAGUUCUCAAUUGCUCCAGUUGACCUGUUACUAUCAAGUUUAAGUGUCUU